GAUAACCAUUUGUGCAUGGGAACACUAGAUGCUUGCUCUGAAAAAAGCUCUGUAACUGCUUACUCUGGAAAUGAUUGAUGCUAUAAAAAACUGCUGGAGACUGAGACCCGGUGAGAGUUCCACCUGUGGAAGGGACGCCUUGCCCAGGACGUGUGAUCCUUGCCCAGCCGUGUUGAUUGACAGGACUCUCCCGGCAGUGGGGCGUGGAUGUUGCUGAAGAGGGACUGGAAGAAGUACAGCAGCUCUUUCUAGGAGAUUUGAAGGCUGAAUGUUGGGCGUCAUCACAGUUGAUUCCAAUCGACUAAAGCUGAUAAAUGAUCCUGAACUUUGAGUGUCCCCGCUACACCAGACCCUUAUUAGACCCAAAUGAAGAUUCUUUCCUGGUGAAUGAACAAUGCGACUUUUUUCUCCUCUGACUAAAGAUUUCAUUUUAUUUAAAAAAUAUUAAUAUGUCAUAAAAUUCUCUCUCUCUCUGUGUGUUUAUGUAUCUAGUCCUGUGAGUUUUAACUCUUGUAUAGAUUUGUGUAGUCAUCACCAUAAUCAGGACAUAGAAUAACUCCAUCACAUCCCCAAAUUUCCUCCUGCUGCCCUUUUGUAGUCAAAUACUACCCCCCACCCAACUCUUGGUGACCACUGAUCUGUUCUCUGUUUCUAUAUUUUUGCUUUUUCUAGGGUAUUAUAUGUAUGGAAUCAUAGAAUAUGGAGCCUUGAAGCUAGCUUCUUUCACUCAGCAUAAUCCUUGAGAUUCAUCCAUGUUGUUGCACUUUUCAUAAUUCAUUUCUUUAACUGAUGAACCGUGGUCCAUUGUAUGAGUAUAUUACAGUUUGUUAUCCACUCACCUCUUGAAGGAUAUUUGUUUUUUCCCUCCAGUUUUUGGAGAUUAUGAGUAAAGCUGCUAUAAAUAUUUAUGUACA